rnacentral:rRNA from 1 species
AUUGAACGCUGGCGGCAGGCCUAACACAUGCAAGUCGAACGAGUGGCGGACGGGUGAGUAAUGUCUGGGAAACUGCCUGAUGGAGGGGGAUAACUACUGGAAACGGUAGCUAAUACCGCAUACCAUCGGAUGUGCCCAAAUGGGUUUCGCUCGUAGGUGGGUUCACGGCUCACCUAGGCGACGAUCACUAUCUGGUCUGAGAGGAUGAUCAGUCACACUUGAACUGAGACACGGUCCAGACUCCUACGGGAGGCAGCAGUGGGGAAUAUUGGACAAUGGGCGAAAGCCUGAUCCAGCCAUGCCGCGUGUGUGAAGAUGGUCUGCGGAUUGUAAAGCACUUUAAGUUGGGAGGCGUUACCAACAGAAUAAGCACCGGCUAACUUCGUGCCAGCAGCCGCGGUAAUUC